rnacentral:rRNA from 1 species
AGAACGAACGCUGGCGGCAUGCCUAAUACAUGCAAGUCGAACGAACACUUCGGUGUUAGUGGCGCACGGGUGCGUAACGCGUGGGAAUCUGCCCUUGGGUUCGGAAUAACAGUUGGAAACGACUGCUAAUACCGGAUGAUAUCGAAAGAUCAAAGAUUUAUCGCCCAGGGAUGAGCCCGCGUAGGAUUAGCUAGUUGGUGAGGUAAAGGCUCACCAAGGCGACGAUCCUUAGCUGGUCUGAGAGGAUGAUCAGCCACACUGGGACUGAGACACGGCCCAGACUCCUACGGGAGCAGCAGUAGGGAAUA